UACGGAGGGUGCGAGCGUUGUCCGGAAUCACUGGGCGUAAAGGGCACGUAGGCGGUGCGGUAAGUCACCUGUGAAAUCUCCUGGCUCAACUGGGAGCUUGCAGGCGAAACUGCCGUGCUGGAGUGUGGGAGAGGUGCGUGGAAUUCCUGGUGUAGCGGUGAAAUGCGUAGAUAUCAGGAGGAACACCUGUGGCGAAAGCGGCGCACUGGACCACAACUGACGCUGAGGCGCGAAAGCUAGGGGAGCAAACAGG
rnacentral:rRNA from 1 species